AGAGUUUGAUCAUGGACUCAGAUUGAACGCUGGCGGCAUGCCUUACACAUGCAAGUCGAACGGCAGCACGGGAGCUUGCUCCUGGUGGCGAGUAGCGAACGGGUGAGUAAUACAUCGGAACGUACCCUGAAGUGGGGGAUAACGUAGCGAAAGUUACGCUAAUACCGCAUAUUCUGUGAGCAGGAAAGAGGGGGAUCGCAAGACCUCUUGCUUUAGGAGCGGCCGAUGUCGGAUUAGCUAGUUGGUGAGGUAAAGGCUCACCAAGGCGACGAUCCGUAGCGGGUCUGAGAGGAUGAUCCGCCACACUGGGACUGAGACACGGCCCAGACUCCUACGGGAGGCAGCAGUGGGGAAUUUUGGACAAUGGGCGCAAGCCUGAUCCAGCCAUGCCGCGUGAGUGAUGAAGGCCUUCGGGUUGUAAAGCCCUGUCGGGAGGGACGAAUUCUUGACGGUACCUCCAAAGAAAGCACCGGCUAACUCCGUG
rnacentral:rRNA from 1 species